rnacentral:rRNA from 1 species
GACGAACGCUGGCGGCGUGCCUAAUACAUGCAAGUAGAACGCUGAAGGAGGAGCUUGCUUCUCUGGAUGAGUUGCGAACGGGUGAGUAACGCGUAGGUAACCUGCCUGGUAGCGGGGGAUAACUAUUGGAAACGAUAGCUAAUACCGCAUAAGAGUAGAUGUCGCAUGACAUUUGCUUAAAAGGUGCAAUUGCAUCACUACCAGAUGGACCUGCGUUGUAUUAGCUAGUUGGUGAGGUAACGGCUCACCAAGGCAACGAUACAUAGCCGACCUGAGAGGGUGAUCGGCCACACUGGGACUGAGACACGGCCCAGACUCCUACGGGAGGCAGCAGUAGGGAAUCUUCGGCAAUGGACGGAAGUCUGACCGAGCAACGCCGCGUGAGUGAAGAAGGUUUUCGGAUCGUAAAGCUCUGUUGUAAGAGAAGAACGAGUGUGAGAGUGGAAAGUUCACACUGUGGCGGUAUCUUACCAGAAAGGGACGGCUAACUACGUG